rnacentral:lncRNA from 1 species
UAAUUUAGAACACGGCCUCAAGACCUUAAUAUUUUAUAAUAGUGACUUUACAAUAACCAGUUACUGCUUUUUUCCUAAGGUACACAGCACUGGAGAGAAGCAGAGCUAAGGAGGUGAAGUGUCUGUCUGUCUUGCUGAAAGCAGCUGGGAGUGGGAAAAAAUAGUCUUGUCCACUUUUGGCUAUCUCAAGAUGAACAUGGAGCUCUCCAGCAGAGGAAAUGUCUAGGAGGAUAAGAGAGAUGAGGAAACUCUGGAAAAAGCAGCUUGCCCCUAGUAUGUCAGGUCUACAAGAGAGGGGAGACAUUGGAUGGAGUGUCCUAUGUGGCAGGGAGACCUCCACUCAGCAGGACACGGUGAGAGUUUCUUAGACCUGGGAAGAUCAGAAAACCCAUUGGUUUAAGCUACAAAUAGAGAAGAUGUUGAAACACAGAGAAGGCGUAAGAACUAAAGGGAGACACAACCAAGAAGAAGCAAAGAUGGAAGACCAUGCAAGAGUGGACUGAGCACAGA